rnacentral:sRNA from 1 species
AUAUAGAUAAAAAAAAAAAGGAAAAAAAAA